GCUGCAACCCGCCUACAUGAAGUCGGAAUUGCUAGUAAUCGCGGAUCAGCAUGCCGCGGUGAAUACGUUCCCGGGCCUUGUACACACCGCCCGUCACACCAUGGGAGUCGGUAACACCCGAAGUCAGUAGCCUAACCGCAAGGAGGGCGCUGCCGAAGGUGGGAUCGAUGACUGGGGUGAAGUCGUAACAAGGUAGC
rnacentral:rRNA from 1 species